rnacentral:rRNA from 1 species
UACGUAGGGUGCAAGCGUUGUCCGGAAUUAUUGGGCGUAAAGAGCUCGUAGGCGGCUUGUCGCGUCGGCUGUGAAAACCUGGGGCUCAACCCCGGGCCUGCAGCCGAUACGGGCAAGCUAGAGUUCGGUAGGGGAGACUGGAAUUCCUGGUGUAGCGGUGAAAUGCGCAGAUAUCAGGAGGAACACCGGUGGCGAAGGCGGGUCUCUGGGCCGAUAUUGACGCUGAGGAGCGAAAGCGUGGGGAGCGAACAGG